GAUGAACGCUGGCGGCGUGCCUAAUACAUGCAAGUCGAACGCAUAGCGAAAGGUGCUUGCACCUUUCAAGUGAGUGGCGAACGGGUGAGUAACACGUGGACAACCUGCCUCAAGGCUGGGGAUAACAUUUGGAAACAGAUGCUAAUACCGAAUAAAACUUAGUGUCGCAUGACACAAAGUUAAAAGGCGCUUCGGCGUCGCCUAGAGAUGGAUCCGCGGUGCAUUAGUUAGUUGGUGGGGUAAAGGCCUACCAAGACAAUGAUGCAUAGCCGAGUUGAGAGACUGAUCGGCCACAUUGGGACUGAGACACGGCCCAAACUCCUACGGGAGGCUGCAGUAGGGAAUCUUCCACAAUGGGCGAAAGCCUGAUGGAGCAACGCCGCGUGUGUGAUGAAGGCUUUCGGGUCGUAAAGCACUGUUGUAUGGGAAGAACAGCUAGAAUAGGAAAUGAUUUUAGUUUGACGGUACCAUACCAGAAAGGGACGGCUAAAUACGUG
rnacentral:rRNA from 1 species